UACGUAGGGGCGAGCGUUAUCCGGAAUUAUUGGGCGUAAAGAGUACGUAGGUGGUUUUUUAAGUCGCAGGGUUUAAGGUCGAUGGCUCAACUGUCGUUCGCCCUCGUGAACUGGAAGACUUGAGUACAGGAGAGGAAAGACGGAAUUCCUAGUGUAGCGGUGAAAUAGCAUAGAUAUUAGGAGGAACACCAGUGGCGAAGGCGGCUUUCUUGGACUGUAACUGACACUGAGGUACGAAAGCGUGGGGAGCAACCAGGAUUAGAUACCCUGGUAGUCCCUGAGCGGG
rnacentral:rRNA from 1 species